rnacentral:lncRNA from 1 species
GUACCGUCGCAUCGCGCGCACCGCGCCUCGCGCCCCAGCCGGGAUGCUCCGGGCCCGCGGAACCGUUUGUAGCCGCGGCCCGCCCGCCGGGCCGAGCUGACCAAUCGUGUCGCAGAGCGGGAAAGGCGGCGCCCUAUGACUGCAGCAGGGAGAACCCGUGCCCGUCCGCUGCGGAGCUGCCUGACGUGGGCGUGGAGAGCGAGAGGGGUGUUGCGUCUGAGAGAAGUUCUGCUCAGAAAGAAAAGGAAUUCGGUGGGCCAGAUUCCCUCUGUGGCCAGAUCCGUUCACUACAGCUGCCUGGGGAGGAAUUUAGGUGAAGGGUUAUCGUCAAGAGGAAAAUCGAACUUAGAAGGGAGGAGGUCACCAUUUUUGCAGGUACCAAUCCAAAUUUUGCUCAGAUUUCACCUAGAGAUUUUACUUAAAUAUUUCUGGAAAAGCACUUGUUUUAACAAAUACUGAUUGCUACUCAUGCAUUUAAUGCAAGUGGCGUAAGUUUUAGCACCGAUGUAGAGCCAUUUCUGUUUUAUGGGUCUUCACAAAUUAAACUUGAUGACAAUCUAAUUCAUAUUACACCAAUUUCAGAGGUGCAGAAGGGAACAGAAGCUAUAUCCUGCCCCAUGCUACAACGUUCGGGUAUUCUAAUCGAGCAUCUGUGGCUGUCUCCCACACUAUCAAGCUCCUUAGAUACUGGACAUAUUUCCAUCAACCAAGAGACUGAGCAUAUCGUGCUCAAAAAGAGUACUCAACGGCAUGAAAAAGGGGAUUAAAAAGCAAAGAACCAAAACCAGCAUCUCUUUUCCAGAAGGGUGAAAAUAUGCCAAGCCCAGUUCUAACUACAGAAAUACUUUCCAGUAUUUUCUUUCUUUCCAGUUACUGCAGUUCUACAAAGAUGUUAUUUGGUGACAGAUGAAAAGGAAGGCAAUUUGGUGAACAAGAUACCUAUUCCAAAGAUCUCCUGAUUAAAAGAAAGGCUAAUAUCUUACUCCUCACACUCCUGACAUGACCGUAGGCUUGAAGAGUCUUGCAAUCUGUAUAUAAUUUGAAUGAAGGAAGUCCAGUUGAAAGACUACAUCUCUAAUUGUUAAUGAACGUUUCCAGCAACAGUUUCACAGCAACAAUAACAAAAAAAAAUUCUCUGCUUGGAAGAGGUUUUCUUCCAAAUGUGUUCUCUUAGCUUAAGUUGCUAUAACAGAGAUAGCACUAGGCAGAUAGCAACUGUAUGUGUUCUAUAAUAAGUAUACUUUUCAUAAGGCAUUUCAAGGCAAACAGAUUACUAACACAUUUUAAAAGUUAAACUAUGUAUAUCAAGGACCACACUAUUGCAGCAAGCUAUAUACAGUAAGGCACUGUCCAUGAAAUCAAAGAAAUAUUUCAUAUCACAUUAAUACACUGACAUUAUUGCCUGACCUAUAAAUACUGAUAAUAUUUUCAUUAUCAUCUAUGUUUAACCUUCUUUAUCCUUUCAAAUGCCCUUAUGCCCAAUACGUGAAAACAUGUGAUAGAGUUCCACAUAGUAAGUCCAGAAAUCACAUCAAGGAAGUUCUUUAUUGGUUUCUUUCAAUGACUUUCAGAUUAAAUCUGCUCAUUUUAUAAAUGCAGUAAAGGUUUUUGUUAAGUGUCUAGUCUAAAAACACAUGGUUGAAGUUAGUAGGUUUUUUCAAUCCAGCAACAAAGGACCCUGCAACUAGAACAAAGUUAAUAACUGCUGAUGACAUACAUGCUAGAAGAAAAAAAACAAAACAAAACAAAAAAAAACCCAGUGCCUCACUCCUUAGUAUCAGAAGAAGAAAAUCAUACUUUAGAACUGAAAGAAAAUUAUGGCGUACACAAAAAGAACAGGUUUGUAUAGAAAACUAUCAACCUUUCACCUACUCACCUUUCAGGCAUUUGCUUCAUCAAACUCCCAAGUAUCAGUGCAAGAAUGAGUAUAAUUACCAGAAUGCCAAGGUAAGAAACAGGCAGACUUUGUAAAUCUGUUCACAGUAGUGUUCCAGAUUGGUGCUAAAAUAAGAGUUAUGAGCUACGUUCAUUUUAAGUAAAUGUAAGAAUAUCUAUACUCAGCUCAGACCUUCUUUAGUCAUCAUCUAUUUGGGAAGAAUGGAAGGAAUUACUGCUUCCCUAGAAGAGAAUUCAUUUUUCUCAGUUACAGAAUGUGAAAGUGAACAAACUCUGGCCUUUCUCCAGUUCAAGUCAAGGAGAGUUGCAUGAGCUGUUCAGCCUCAUGACCACACUUACCUACACUGUAGGCUCCCAGAUUAAGAGCAGUUGACUGAGCCUUCAGAGCAAGAAUGGUUUCAAAAUAAAAUGCUCUACCCAACAGACGUCAGUGGCACUAACUUACCAUCUCACCUUGUAACAGAAGCAUACUUGCUUAAAGUUUGCUAGAAGAUGUGAUUUGUACCAGUCACAUCAGGAGAGUAACAGAAACUUGUAGUGACCUUUCAGUCUCAUGCAGCUUGAAUCAUUUAUUAUGAGUGGAUAAGCGUUCUCCUGGCCUUCUAGAUCAGGGAAAGGAAGAAAGGCAAAAGAAACCUUGGAGUCCUCCAGAAUAUCAGCACAGAAUCAUAGAAUGGUUGGGGUUGGGUUGGAAGAGACCGAAAAGAUCAUCUAGUUCCAACCCCCUGCCACAGGCCUCCCACUAGACCAGGUUGCCCAAAUCCCCAUCCAACCUGGCUUUGAACAUUUCCAGGGAUGGGGUAUCCCUAAUUUCUCUGGGCAACCUGUUUCAGUACCUCACCACCAACACAAUAAAGAAUUUCUUCCUUACAUCUAAUCUAAAUAUACCCGCUUUUAGUUUAAAAUCUUUAUCUCUCAUCCUAUCACUGCAUGCCCUUGUAGAAAGUCUAUCUCUAUCUUUCUUAUAAGCCUUCUUUAAGAAAAGAUGCAGUAAGGUUUCCCUGGAGCCUUCUCUUCUCCAGGCUGAACAACCCCACCUCUCUCAGGCUUUCUUCAUAGGAGAGGCUUUCCAACCCCCUGAUCAUUUUUGUGGCCCUCCUCUGGACUCCCUCUAGCAGGCCCUUGUGUUUCUUGUGAUGGGGGUCUGAGAGCUGGAUGUGGUGGUACUGCAGGUGGGUUCUCAUGAGGAAUAGAGAAAGAGAAAGCAUCUCCAUCUAGGCUCCCAUUCAAGUAUUUCUGCCCUUGGUUAUUGACACUAAACAAGCUCAUGGACGCGCAGAAUAGUAACACGUUAUCAGCAGCUAAUAAAAUUAAACUAGGCUAGACGGUAUUGCUAUACUGAACAAAAUAGAUUCCUCCCUCAAACAGCAAAGACACUAGCACACAAAAUAGCGGUGACACAGACCUUCAGCUAGGAACACAGAUUGGCAGGCCUUGGCAGGAGUGUGUAAAUUCUGUGGUUUGGUCCUAGAGGCUGUGGCUUCAGCCCCAGCUCCCAAUUCCCUACCACAAACCACCAGAGACUGUUCAGAGUAAAUACAAGGCCAGCUUCUAUUCAGCAAGGUCCUGUCAUAUUCAAAUAUUAUCAUGCUAAGGGGCUUCUAGCUUAAAUAUCCUUCCAUAGGCAUGGCAACUGAACACAAGCAAUAGGUAGGAAUGAACUGGCUGGAGCAUGAGCUGGCUGAGACCCAUUCAGCUUGACAGCCAGGGAAAAUGUCUCAGCUGCCUCUCAUCUUCGCAUGAAGCCUGUCUUAUUGGACAGCUAUUUGCGAACACAGCUCAGCUGCUUUCUCUGAAUCAGACAGAGAGGUGUGCAGAUGAUGAUAUUGCCCGGAUUCCAGGAGCACCCUGGGGACCGACACCACGCUCCGUUGGUACUUCCCAUGAACUUAGCUGAAGGUCUGCAUACCAGGAAGGACUGUCUGCUUGCAGUGGUACUAGCAGAGUGGCAGGUGCUUUUGAACCACGCCAUGCUCUGUGGUGGGAUUUCCAACGUCCAAACGUCAUUAACUCAGCCUCUUCUUUCUGAACACUGGGAAUAAGGCAAACCCGCAUGGGCACGAGCGGUCAAAGCUGCCCAGCAUGUUGACACCGGAGCUAGGCUGAUGAAAGUCACACGUGGGGCAGCCCCUGCUUUGCAUUUUGGUGCAGAUGUACACAGAGAAAGGAGCGGAGGCAGAGCUGAGACGGUGGGAAACUUGGCGAGAAGGAGGGCGUCUGUUACUUGAAAUCACUCUACAGCACAUUACAAAUCUGUUAAAUCACUGCGGGUUACCCUGUAUUUCAGAGUAAAUUGGUAACUUUUCAGAGGGAGUGAAGAAACUACCACUCCACUUUUAAAUAAUGAAAAUGCUAAAAAACCUACACUUAACAGCUCUAAAACUGCAGCAAGUCACCCACCAACACCCACUCCUCUUGUCAGCAGGCUUUUUUCAGCUUUGCCUAUUAUUUGCGUGAAGCCAGAGAUGUUUAAUGUUUGCUGCCCUUAUCUGCUCAACUUUAAGGAGCCUCAAACGUUACAAUAUGUACCUGGGCCGCUGACCUGUUUCCCCACAGCACUUUGAUCUAAAUAAGUAACAAACACAGAGUUUCCAAAUCAUUUGGAUUCACUGGCUCUGAGCGCAUAGCUGUAAAAAAUCUGCUUUAAGAUUAACAUCCAAUUUUAUUCAUGCCUGAGGCUUCACCACAGCAUCUAUUUUUGUAAGAUUAACAGCAAGAUCCCAGUUCUCCAGAAAUGUAAAGAGUAACAGCCAGUUGUAAAAGAAAUCUGAUAUUUCCUAAUUUGUCCUGCUCGCAUCCAGGAAGGCAUAUUUUCCCAGACCUUCCAAUGAUGGUUGUAAUUUCUACUUGCAUUUUUGCACCCACGACACGCAGCGUGUGUAUUAAUCCUUCUGCCUCCCAUUUGCUGAAAUGCAUUUCUGAUGAAACUGUGAGUGCCAAAAAACCACUAGCGCAAAUCUCACAUGUGCAAAGUAUCCCCUGAAAGACAGCUUUUACUCUGGAGGAGUUAAGAAACAGUCAUCUUCCUGUACCUUGCACAGAAGCAUUUUGGAUCAUCUAACUUGAAAAUGCAAGUACAUAAAAGGAGCACUUAAUAUUCCAGCUAAUCCAUUUUAAAUUAAUAUACUUGCAAACAUUUCUUUUUAACAUGGGAAUCUGAGGACAAAUUGGGGGCCAUUUUUAACUUUAACAGCAGAAGAAAAGUUGCUUUAAAUAGUGCCUUUGGUAUCUGUCAAUUAGAGCUAUUGCACUGCUGUCAACUUGCGCUCCUUUAGUUCCAGCUUUGCUCCAUCCUACACAGAUCCGUACAAAUCAGUUGUCUCUUCCAAACAUGCACUAACCACUGGAAAGUGAAAUUAAUAAAGUGUGAGAAAAGCUGACUCAUAAAGCUGACACUCCUGUGCCCAACAACUCUGGGUUUCUCCCCUCCAGCUAGCUGUUUGAGAUAGACAGGCAAAGUGGUAAAAGAUUAUCAAAUUGCAACUGUCACUCCUGACAAAAUGCAUCUGAAUGCUGGAAGGAAUUUCAGGUUUUAAGCUAAAGCACCAUCCCAAAGAGUUCCUCAGAGCCUGUCAAUAUCUGUACCUUGGAUGGAAAGCUACCACUGAGCACAGUGCGUCCAACAUAUAGAACCUGCCACGAAAUGAAGUUCUUCGUAAGAAAGCUCAUCUCAGUCUUGGUUGGUAACAAUAACAAGGAGA